rfam:Triticum aestivum genome assembly, contig: Triticum_aestivum_CS42_TGACv1_scaffold_290805_4AL
CAUGUACUCCCUCCGUCCUAAAAUUCUUGUCUUAGAUUAGCCUAGAUACGGAUGUAUCUAAUACUAAAACGUGACUUGAUACAUCCAUAUUUAGACAAAUCUAAGACAAGAAUUUUGGGACUAGGGAGUAGUUA